rfam:Candidatus Peribacteria bacterium RIFCSPLOWO2_12_FTLL_55_15 rifcsplowo2_12_scaffold_1930, whole genome shotgun sequence.
GAAAAUUUUACUCCGCGCAUCACACGGAUGCCUCGACUCUGGAGUCCGAUGAAGGACGUGGCCAGCUACGAUAAGCCUCGGUGAGCCGCUAGGCAGGCACUAUUAGCCGGGGAUUUCCGAAUGGGGCAACCCAUGGGGGUUAUACCCCCGUAUCCGGCUUCGGCCGGAAGGUCACUCUGCGAACUGAAACAUCUCAGUAGCAGGGGAAGAGAAAUCAACACGAGAUUCCCUGAGUAGUGGCGAGCGAAAGGGGAACAGCCUAAACCAUGAUCGCAAGAUUGUGGGGUUGCAGGACCUCAAUAUCCGACUCCCUUCUCAUAGGCGAACGACCCUGGAACGGGCGGCCAAAGAGGGUGAGAGCCCCGUAGACGAAAUGGGGAGGGGCGGUAGGGGAAUCCUAAGUAGGGUCGGACACGUGUAAUCCGGCCUGAAUCCGGGUGGACCACCAUCCAAGGCUAAAGAGCUCUAGAGAUCGAUAGCGAAUAGUACCGUGAGGGAAAGGUGAAAAGCACCCCGAAAGGGGGAUGAAAUAGUCUCUGAAAUGUGAUGCGUACAAAGAAGUCGGAGCCCCGCGUAAGCGGGGUGACGGCGUGCCUUUUGCAUAAUGAGCCAACGAGUUUGUUGUCAGCGGCAUGGCGAAGGGAGUACAUACCCGAAGCCGCAGCGAAAGCGAGUCCGAAUAGGGCGUUUUAGUCGCUGGCACAAGACCCGAAACCGGGUGAGCUAUCCAUGGGCAGGGUGAAGCCCCGCGAAAGCGGGGUGGAGGCCCGAACCGGUUGGUGUCGCAAGACCAUCGGAUGACCUGUGGAUAGGAGUGAAAAGCUCAUCGAACCCGGAGAUAGCUGGUUCUCCUCGAAAUGCCUUUAGGGGCAGCCUCGUCGUAACCUAUGGGGGGUAGAGAUACUGUUUGGAUGCGGGGGUCUUUCAGGCCUACCAAAUCCAGAUAAACUCCGAAUACCCAUAGUUUUAACCACGACGGGAGUGAGACGGUGACAGCGAACUGCCAUCGUCACAAGGGAAAUAGCCCAGACCAUUCGCUAAGGUCCCCAAAUGUCGUUCAGUGGAAAAGGAGGUGCAGGUGCGUUGACAACCAGGAGGUUGGCUUAGAAGCAGCCAUCCUUUAAAGAAAGCGUAACAGCUCACUGGUCGAUGCCCCUGUGCGCCGAAAAUGUAUCGGGGCGAAACGACAUACCGAAGCGGUGGGUGCGACGAAGCGCGCAAGCGCUUUGCCGCGCGGUAGAGGAGCGUUCCGUCCAGCAGUGAAGCUCCGUUGUGAAGCGGAGUGGAGCGGACGGAAGUGAGAAUGUUGGCAUGAGUAACUACUUGGCAGGUGAGAAUCCUGCCCGCCGAAUCCCCAAGGUUUCCCACGCAACGGUCAUCGGCGUGGGGUUAGUCGGUCCUAAGGCAAGGCCAAACGGCGUAGCCGAUGGACAGCAGGUCAAUAUUCCUGCACUUCAUGGAGAUCGCCAAGGGGUAGUUGUUGAGAGCCCAUCAGGCCUCUGCUCUACACCAUUCUGGAGUUGAAGAGAAUUAUGAAUCUGGUGUCAUUAUUACUUCUUAAUUCUUCUCCGAAUCUAGAAUGGUGUGGAGUACGUCAGGUAGGAAGGAUGCUUCUACUCUAGGAGCGGCAUGACGGAGCGGGACGAUCAGAGCGUGUGUAUGGAAUGCACGUGGAAUGCGUAAGACGUUGAUGUUGGGAGGCAAAUCCCCCAAGAGAGUCGAGCGCACAUCCCAAAUGCCCCGCGCAAGCGGGGUGAGUCUGAACCGUUCUGCUUCCAAGAAAAUCGUCGCGUCCGAGAGCUUCAUGAAACCGUACCGCAAACCAACACUGGUGGGGUGGUCGAGAAGACUAAGGCGAACGGGUCAUCUCGCGUCAAGGAACUCGGCAAAAAAGCGUCCGUAACUUCGGGAUAAGGACUGCCUCGCACGCGCAAGCGCAGCGGGGUCGCAGCGAAAGAGCUCAGGCGACUGUUUACCAAAAACACAGGUCCCUGCGAAGCCGUAAGGCAAUGUAUAGGGGCUGAUGCCUGGCCAGUGUCAGAAGGUUACGGAAGGGGGUUCACGCUCCCGACUUAAGCCCUGAUGAACGCCGGCGAUAACUAUAAUCGUCCUAUGGUAGCGAAAUUCCUUGUCGGGUGGUCGAUAAAAACUUGCCCGAAUGGUCCGGAAGGAUCAGCACUGAGGAAAGAAGUUACCGAACUCUUUUUAUCCAAAGUUAUAACGCAAAUACCGAGAUCCUAUUAAAUGGGGCACAAGUGUGCCCUGCUUGAGAUCGUUGGUCAUCGUCGUCGCACUGACGCCGGUGAGCCAUUCAUACAUAUCAGUGCAAAACGUGGCUAUAUGCUGGAAAAUCCCAUGUAUCCCCUAUGCCGCAAGGUACGGGGUGGGGAUCAUCAGCAGGAAAGGAUCCGCAAGGAGAAUCCUCAGAGACUACACGCCACGCAACUUAAAAAGAACCAUCCGCGCCGAAGGCAAGCUCCGCUUGCCUGGAGGCGCACCUUUAAAGGGAAAGGAUGGUUCAUGGAAGGAAAACCGUAGGUUUGCCUUCCAUGAGUUGAUGAUAUAGUCCGAUCCCUCUAGCGAUAGAGGGAUGCCGCAGAACCGCGCGGCUGAUAAAAAACAAGCGUUUCUGUGUCUAUCCCUCGACUACGCUCGGGAUGACACAGGAGGUGCAAGUGCGCCCCGCAGUUAUUGUGGGGUUCUCGGUGGCCCGCCGAGAGGAACAUUCCUGGAGGCACACCUCUUAGGGAAAGGAUGGUCCGCGGAAGGAAAACCGUAGGUUUUCCUCUUCCGCGAGAGCUUUGAAGUUCCGACCCGCACGAAUGGUAUAACGAUCUGAGCACUGUCUCGACGCGAGGCCCGGUGAAAUUUCAGUGACGGUGCAAAUGCCGUCUUGAUCACGGAAGGACGAAAAGACCCUAUGAAGCUUUACUGUACGCUGGCAUUGUGACGUUAGUCUGCGUGCGCAGGAUAGGUGGGAGCCUUUGAAGCCCUGGCUUUGGCCGGGGUGGAGGCAACGUUGAGAUACCACCCUCGUGUUCUGACGUUACUCACGGUGACCCUGAAACAGGGCAUCGAACAGUGCUUGCCGGGCAGUUUAACUGGGGCGGUUGCCUCCUAAAGCGUAACGGAGGCGCGCAAUGGUCGACUAGCGCCGGAUGGAAAUCGGCGUGGUCGUGUAAUCGCAUAUGUCGGCCUGACUGUGAGGCCUACAAGCCGAGCAGAGACGAAAGUCGGCGAUAGUGAUCCGGUGCCCAUGGACANNNNNNNNNNNNNNNNNNNNNNNNNGAUGUCGGCUCAUCGCAUCCUGGGGCUGAAGAAGGUCCCAAGGGUCGGGCUGUUCGCCCGUUAAAGCGGUACGCGAGCUGGGUUCAAAACGUCGUGAGACAGUUUGGCCUCUAUCCUCCGUGGUCGCAAAGGAACGUGAGGGAAGUUGCUCCUAGUACGAGAGGACCGGAGUGAACGAACCUCUGGUGUACCUGUUGUCGCGUCAGCGGCAUUGCAGGGUAGCUAUGUUCGGAAGGGAUAACCGCUGAAAGCAUCUAAGUGGGAAGCCCCUCCCAAGAUGACGUUCCUCUAUAAGCCCGCCGCAAGACCAGCGGCUAGAUCGGCCACAGGUGUACGCCCCGCAAGGGGUUCAGCCGAGUGGUACGAACGGGCGAUUGAUAUUUUCCU